CCCUUUAGGUUUGCUGGCAAUGGUUUUAUUGGUGCAUCAAAACCCCUUGGAUUUAUUCAUGAACAAAAUUUCAAGCAGUUGUCCUGCUAUUUUUUUUACCAAUGGGAUUUGAUUGUGUAAGUACUGUAAAAUAUUUCAACAUGGUGAAGGUCCAAAGCUAAAAAAAAUUAUGCUCUGACACACAGAGUAGCUGGGGAAUACUUGGGAAGGCUGAAUUCUCAAUAGUUACGUACACUUCUCGCAUUUCUAUUGCAGAUAUGUUAUUCACAGAGCGGUGGCACAGAGGACACCCGGAAAAGACAGGAGUGGGUGAUUUGGACUCCACAGACCCUAGAAAUGGAUGAAAAGGUCUGGGACCCUGACAAAAGGUGAAGACAUUAGCACUGGAUAAGCUACCACAGAAAGUCAUUAAUGGAGAGCACAUCCAGUCUUGGUGGUGACAUAUGCACAGCAGUUUGACAUCCAAUUCUCAUUAUCAGUAUUUCUCAGCACAGCUCUUCUCCUACUGAUUCUCACUACCUCUUCUUGCCAACACAGUCCCAAUGAACUGUUUAUUUGCUCCAACAGAGUGAUGAAGAUACCAGAAGAACCUGUUGAGUUUUGCAUAACUACUUUUUCUCUGCAUGUUUUUUGAUAGUCAGUGUUCCAUUAUUUCUUCUUAAGAAGUUGUUAUAGAAAAUAAAAGACAAAAAGAGAAAAAGAAACAAAUUAAAGGAAAAAAAAACGAGAAAAAAAAUCGGAGAAACCAUAAAAGAUCACAUUGAGAAAAACAGACUACAGCAAGCAUUUUUAAAAUUAAUAAGAAUUUUAUCAGAAAUUUUUACUUCAAAGUCAUGUGAAGGCCAGGAAGGCUUAGUGUCUCACUCUUCAGUGGAUACAAAUACAGCACUUGUACAAACAUCUUUAAAGCUCCCAUCUGUGUGCACUUAUCCAGGAGAGGCUGCAUUUUCUCCCAUCCUUCAGCUACUCUAUUGA
rnacentral:lncRNA from 1 species